rnacentral:rRNA from 1 species
UACGUAGGGCGCAAGCGUUGUCCGGAAUUAUUGGGCGUAAAGAGCUCGUAGGCGGCUUGUCACGUCGGGUGUGAAAGCCCGGGGCUUAACCCCGGGUCUGCAUUCGAUACGGGCUAGCUAGAGUGUGGUAGGGGAGAUCGAAUUCCUGGUGUAGCGGUGAAAUGCGCAGAUAUCAGGAGGAACACCGGUGGCGAAGGCGGAUCUCUGGGCCAUUACUGACGCUGAGGAGCGAAAGCGUGGGGAGCAAACAGG